rnacentral:rRNA from 1 species
CCUANGGGGGGCAGCAGUCUAGAGGCUUCGGCAAUGGGGGCAACCCUGACCGAGCGACGCCGCGUGUGGGAUUGAAGGCGUUUUCGUUGUAAACCACUGUGUAGGGGGAAGAAUGCCCGGAUGGCGAAUCCGGGAGGGACGGUACCCCUAUAGAAAGCCCCGGCUAACUCCGUGCCAGCAGCCGCAGUAAUACGGGGGGGGCAAGCGUUGUUCGGAUUUACUGGGCGUAAAGGGAGCGUAGGCGGUUGAUCAAGUCCGGUGUGAAAGCUUUACCACUCAACGGAAAGAGGUCACUGGAAACUGGUCAGCUAGAGUAGGGUAGAGGCAAGCGGAAUUCCUGGUGUAGCGGUGGAAUGUUUAGAUAUCAGGAAGAACACCUGUGGCGAAGGCGGCUUGCUGGGCCCUCACUGACGCUGAGGCUCGAAAGCGUGGGGAGCAAACGGGAUUAGAUACCCUUNUANUC